AUUGAACGCUGGCGGCAGGCCUAACACAUGCGAGUCGAGCGGAUGAAGGGAGCUUGCUCCGGGUUUCAGCGGCGGAAGGGGGAGUAAUGCCUAGGAAUAUGCCUGGUAGGGGGGGAUAACGUCCGGAAACGGGCGCUAAUACCGCAUACGUCGUGAGGGAGAAGGAGGGGGGGCUUCGGACCGCUCCCUCUGAGGGGGGCCGAGGUGGGGUUGGCUAGUUGGUGGGGUAAGGGCCUGCCAAGGCGAGGAUCCGUAACUGGUCGGAGUGGAUGAUCGGUCACCCUGGAACUUGAACACGGUCCAGAGUCCUGCGGGAGGGCGCAGUGGGGAAUAUUGGGCAAUGGGCGGAAGCCUUGUCCAACCAUGCCGCGUGUGUGAAGAAGGUCUUCGGAUUGUAAAGCACUUUAAGUUGGUAGGAAGGGCAGUAAGUUAAUACCUUGCUGUUUUGACGUUACCAACAGAAUAAGCACCGGCUAACUUCGUG
rnacentral:rRNA from 1 species